CAUGAGGAGGUGAUGAUGGUAAUAACAAGCACAUAUCUUAAAAUCAAAUGUGUAGAUGAAUUAAGUUUCUGAACCUCCUCAUU